GACGAACGCUGGCGGCGUGCCUAAUACAUGCAAGUAGAACGCUGAAGGAGGAGCUUGCUUCUCUGGAUGAGUUGCGAACGGGUGAGUAACGCGUAGGUAACCUGCCUGGUAGCGGGGGAUAACGAUUGGAAACGAUAGCUAAUACCGCAUAAGAGUAGAUGUUGCAUGACAUUUGCUUAAAAGGUGCAAUUGCAUCACUACCAGAUGGACCUGCGUUGUAUUAGCUAGUUGGUGGGGUAACGGCUUACCAAGGCGACGAUACAUAGCCGACCUGAGAGGGUGAUCGGCCACACUGGUAAUGAGACACGGCCCAGACUCCUACGAGAGGCAGCAGUAGGGGAGCUUCGGAAAUGGACGGAAGUCUGACCGAGCAACGCCGCGGGAGUGAAGAAGGGUAUCGGAUCGUAAAGCUCGGUUGUAAGAGAAGAACGAGUGUGAGAGUGGAAAGUUCACACUGUGACGGUAUCUGACCAGAAAGGGACGGCUAACUACGUG
rnacentral:rRNA from 1 species